GGGUAGAGGGAAAAGGAGCAAUCCGCUUUGAGAUGGCCUCGCGUCCGAUUAGCUAGUUGGUGAGGUAAUGGCCCACCAAGGCGACGAUCGGUAGCCGGACUGAGAGGUUGAACGGCCACAUUGGGACUGAGACACGGCCCAGACUCCUACGGGAGGCAGCAGUGGGGAAUAUUGCACAAUGGGGGAAACCCUGAUGCAGCGACGCCGCGUGGAGGAAGAAGGUCUUCGGAUUGUAAACUCCUGUUGUUGAGGAAGAUAAUGACGGUACUCAACAAGGAAGUGACGGCUAACUACGUGCCAGCAGCCGCGGUAAAACGUAGGUCACAAGCGUUGUCCGGAAUUACUGGGUGUAAAGGGAGCGCAGGCGGGAAGACAAGUUGGAAGUGAAAUCCAUGGGCUCAACCCAUGAACUGCUUUCAAAACUGUUUUUCUUGAGUAGUGCAGAGGUAGGCGGAAUUCCCGGUGUAGCGGUGGAAUGCGUAGAUAUCGGGAGGAACACCAGUGGCGAAGGCGGCCUACUGGGCACCAACUGACGCUGAGGCUCGAAAGUGUGGGUAGCAAACAGGAUUAGAUACCCUGGUAGUCCACACUGUAAACGAUGAUUACUAGGUGUUGGAGGAUUGACCCCUUCAGUGCCG
rnacentral:rRNA from 1 species